AGAGUUUGAUCCUGGCUCAGGACGAACGCUGGCGGCGUGCUUAACACAUGCAAGUCGAACGGUAAGGCUCCAGCUUGCUGGGGGUACACGAGUGGCGAACGGGUGAGUAACACGUGGGUGACCUGCCCUGCACUUCGGGAUAAGCCUGGGAAACUGGGUCUAAUACCGGAUAGGACCAUGGUGUGGAUGCUGUGGUGGAAAGUUUUUUCGGUGUGGGAUGGGCCCGCGGCCUAUCAGCUUGUUGGUGGGGUAAUGGCCUACCAAGGCGGCGACGGGUAGCCGGCCUGAGAGGGUGGACGGCCACAUUGGGACUGAGACACGGCCCAGACUCCUACGGGAGGCAGCAGUGGGGAAUAUUGCACAAUGGGCGGAAGCCUGAUGCAGCGACGCCGCGUGGGGGAUGACGGCCUUCGGGUUGUAAACUCCUUUCACCAUCGACGGAGGGUUUCUGACGGUAGAUGGAGAAGAAGCACCGGCUAACUACGU
rnacentral:rRNA from 1 species